CCUCGGCCGGCCUCGGCCGCGCAAGCGCACCGCUGAGGGCCGGAACUGGCAGAGGUUGGGCCUCCGGCUGCGGACGGAUCUGGCACCCUGCUACUUCUGGCUCUUCCCCAAAGUCAAAAUGACCAUGAAAGGACAACGUUUUGAACCGACUCAGGACAUCAAAGCAGUUAUGACAGCACAACCAGAGACCCUCAAGAAUGAGGACUUCCAGAGCUGCUUCAGGAAGUGGCAAGGAUGAGAUGAGUAUAUUUGAAGCAAGGAGUGUAUUUUGAGGAGGUUCAUGGUAGUUUGUCUUGAAAUAAUUUUUUUAAAUGUAAGCAUUCACCA